AUAGCUUCUCAGCCUUUUGGCUAAGAUCAAGUGUAGAUAAAAACAAAACCAAGUUUUUUAAGGCCAUUAUUCAAUUAGAACCUAGAUUCAAUAAUAGGUCAAAUAUAUCUUAAAUUUCAAUGUAAUUAAUGUUAUCCUGCA
rnacentral:snRNA from 1 species